rnacentral:rRNA from 1 species
AGCGAACGCUGGCGGCAGGCUUAACACAUGCAAGUCGAGCGCCCCGCAAGGGGAGGCGGCAGACGGGUGAGUAACACGUGGGAACGUGCCUUUUGGUUUCGGAACAACCCAGGGAAACUUGGGCUAAUACCGGAUAAGCCCUUACGGGGAAAGGAUUUAUCGCCAAAAGAUCGGCCCGCGUCUGAUUAGCUAGUUGGUGAGGUAACGGCUCACCAAGGCGACGAUCAGUAGCUGGUCUGAGAGGAUGAUCAGCCACACUGGGACUGAGACACGGCCCAGACUCCUACGGGAGGCAGCAGUGGGGGAAUAUUGGACAAUGGGGGAAACCCGUGAUCCAGCCAUGCCGCGUGAGUGAUGAAGGCCUUUAGGGUUGUAAAGCUCUUUCGUCAGGGAAGAUAAUGACGGUACCUACAGAAGAAG